rnacentral:lncRNA from 1 species
ACAUGCCAGGCAAAUGCACUAUGCUGAGCCCCAGCCCCAGCCCAAAUUGUAGAUUCUUUUUAUUUUUUUAAUUUUAAAUUUUUCUUUUUUUAAUUUUUUUGGGUAGUUGUAGAUGGACAGAAUGCCUUUAUUUUAUUUAUGAAAUUACCAAUAAUUUCACCUUGAGCAAUCUCAAGUUUAAUUUUUAUGCGGUGCUGAGGAUCGAACCCAGUGCCUCCUGCAUGCUAGGCAAGCGCUUUGCCCCUGAGCUACAGCCCCAGCCCCUUUAUUUUUUUUUAAUAUUUAAUUUUUAGUUAUAUGAACACAAUAUCUUUAUUUUAUUUUUAUGUGGUGUUGAGGUCGAACCCAGUGCUUCAUGCAUGCUAGGCGAGUGCUCUACCUCUGAGCCACAACCCUAGCCCAAAUUGUAGAUUCUUAAUCUGUUUUUUAUAAUCCAGAGCUUACUAUUGCUUACACAUGUGAGCAUAUACUGUAUUAUGAAAUAUUUUUUAACAAGUUGUCUUUUUCAUUCCCGUUUUCUCAUGAGUGUACCGUGGAGUUUCUAGAGGCUGCAUGACAUGGUGACAUUGCUCAGAUUGGUUAGUGGAACAUAUAUACUUGUGUAUUAUUGUUUUUUCUAGAAUUUGUAUGCUGCUAUUGGAAGACUAGGAAAAAUAUUUUAUCUUUUAAAUUUUCUUUCUAAAAGUCCGUAUACAGAUUUUGAGUCAAUGUAACAUUAAAGGAAAUAAAUUUUAACUGCUAUUAUGGAAGGGUAACAGCUACUAUUGAUGUAAAACUUUUAUGAAAAAGCAACAAUGGUAAAGAGCAAGUGUGUGUGUGUGUGUGUGUGUGUGUGUAUCUGGUAGUGGGUUUGGGGUGCUAUACCACUGAGCUACAUCCCCAGUCCUUUUUAUAUUUUAACUCAGGGCUUUACUAAAUUGCCAAGGCUGACCUUGAUUUUACCAUUCUCCUGCCUCAGCCUCCUGAGUACGUGGGUUUACAGGUGUGUAACACCAUGCCUAGUUACCCUCAUUUCUUUAAAGAAGAAGAGGGGGAAAUAAAAAUCUGUCACUGCAAUAGUAUCGCAGAAUCUGUUUUGCUGUACAAGGAACCUUGUGAUGGGGAAUAAUAUUGAUUUGGGGGAGAAAGGACACAGUGAAUUACCCUAAGUGAACUUCACAGUCAUGGUGGUUACAUUAUAAAUGUUACUUAGAAUGAUUUCUUUUUAAUUGAUGUCCAGAGUAUCCUAAACUGGGCAUUGAGUGGAAUCCAGUGUCCUGAUGAUCUAACAAUACAAACUCUUGCCCUGUGCUCUUUUCCUGGCGCUAUAGGGAACCUCAUAGCACCAGAAGUAUAUUGAGUCAACAGAACACCCCUCAGAUAAAUUCCACCUUUAUACUAUAGGAGUAUGAUAUGAAAGCCCAUGAUUGGUAGGAGUGAGGAAAGUUGACUGCUAGGGGUUUUAUUAAUGGCUUUAAAAAUUUUUUUAAAAUGUUCUUUUCUCUCUCAUGUUUGUUUUGGUACUGAGGAUUGAACCACUGAACCACAUCCUCAGACUUUUUUUUUUGUUGUUUGUUUGUUUGUAUGUAUGUGAUGCUGAGGAUCAAACCCAGGCCUCACCUGUCCUAGGCAAGUGCUCUACCACUGAGCCAUAAUCCCAGCCCAGACCUUUAUUUUUUUAUUUUGAGGCAGGGCCUUGCUAACUCACUGUGGUUGGCCUCUAACUUGCAACCCUCCUACCUCAGUCUCCAGAGUCUCCGGGAUUACAGGCAUGUGCCACUGCUCUGGGUUUAAAUGUACUUUUAAAACA